rnacentral:rRNA from 1 species
GUGAUUCGUCACACUAUCAUUAACUGAAUCCAUAGGUUAAUGAGGCGAACCGGGGGAACUGAAACAUCUAAGUACCCCGAGGAAAAGAAAUCAACCGAGAUUCCCCCAGUAGCGGCGAGCGAACGGGGAGGAGCCCAGAGCCUGAAUCAGUGUGUGUGUUAGUGGAAGCGUCUGGAAAGGCGCGCGAUACAGGGUGACAGCCCCGUACACAAAAAUGCACAUGCUGUGAGCUCGAUGAGUAGGGCGGGACACGUGGUAUCCUGUCUGAAUAUGGGGGGACCAUCCUCCAAGGCUAAAUACUCCUGACUGACCGAUAGUGAACCAGUACCGUGAGGGAAAGGCGAAAAGAACCCCGGCGAGGGGAGUGAAAAAGAACCUGAAACCGUGUACGUACAAGCAGUGGGAGCACAGAGCAAUCUGUGUGACUGCGUACCUUUUGUAUAAUGGGUCAGCGACUUAUAUUCUGUAGCAAGGUUAACCGAAUAGGGGAGCCGAAGGGAAACCGAGUCUUAACUGGGCGUUAAGUUGCAGGGUAUAGACCCGAAACCCGGUGAUCUAGCCAUGGGCAGGUUGAAGGUUGGGUAACACUAACUGGAGGACCGAACCGACUAAUGUUGAAAAAUUAGCGGAUGACUUGUGGCUGGGGGUGAAAGGCCAAUCAAACCGGGAGAUAGCUGGUUCUCCCCGAAAGCUAUUUAGGUAGCGCCUCGUGAAUUCAUCUCCGGGGGUAGAGCACUGUUUCGGCAAGGGGGUCAUCCCGACUUACCAACCCGAUGCAAACUGCGAAUACCGGAGAAUGUUAUCACGGGAGACACACGGCGGGUGCUAACGUCCGUCGUGAAGAGGGAAACAACCCAGACCGCCAGCUAAGGUCCCAAAGUCAUGGUUAAGUGGGAAACGAUGUGGGAAGGCCCAGACAGCCAGGAUGUUGGCUUAGAAGCAGCCAUCAUUUAAAGAAAGCGUAAUAGCUCACUGGUCGAGUCGGCCUGCGCGGAAGAUGUAACGGGGCUAAACCAUGCACCGAAGCUGCGGCAGCGACACUAUGUGUUGUUGGGUAGGGGAGCGUUCUGUAAGCCUGUGAAGGUGUGCUGUGAGGCAUGCUGGAGGUAUCAGAAGUGCGAAUGCUGACAUAAGUAACGAUAAAGCGGGUGAAAAGCCCGCUCGCCGGAAGACCAAGGGUUCCUGUCCAACGUUAAUCGGGGCAGGGUGAGUCGACCCCUAAGGCGAGGCCGAAAGGCGUAGUCGAUGGGAAACAGGUUAAUAUUCCUGUACUUGGUGUUACUGCGAAGGGGGGACGGAGAAGGCUAUGUUGGCCGGGCGACGGUUGUCCCGGUUUAAGCGUGUAGGCUGGUUUUCCAGGCAAAUCCGGAAAAUCAAGGCUGAGGCGUGAUGACGAGGCACUACGGUGCUGAAGCAACAAAUGCCCUGCUUCCAGGAAAAGCCUCUAAGCAUCAGGUAACAUCAAAUCGUACCCCAAACCGACACAGGUGGUCAGGUAGAGAAUACCAAGGCGCUUGAGAGAACUCGGGUGAAGGAACUAGGCAAAAUGGUGCCGUAACUUCGGGAGAAGGCACGCUGAUAUGUAGGUGAAGCGACUUGCUCGUGGAGCUGAAAUCAGUCGAAGAUACCAGCUGGCUGCAACUGUUUAUUAAAAACACAGCACUGUGCAAACACGAAAGUGGACGUAUACGGUGUGACGCCUGCCCGGUGCCGGAAGGUUAAUUGAUGGGGUUAGCGCAAGCGAAGCUCUUGAUCGAAGCCCCGGUAAACGGCGGCCGUAACUAUAACGGUCCUAAGGUAGCGAAAUUCCUUGUCGGGUAAGUUCCGACCUGCACGAAUGGCGUAAUGAUGGCCAGGCUGUCUCCACCCGAGACUCAGUGAAAUUGAACUCGCUGUGAAGAUGCAGUGUACCCGCGGCAAGACGGAAAGACCCCGUGAACCUUUACUAUAGCUUGACACUGAACAUUGAGCCUUGAUGUGUAGGAUAGGUGGGAGGCUUGGAAGUGUGGACGCCAGUCUGCAUGGAGCCGACCUUGAAAUACCACCCUUUAAUGUUUGAUGUUCUAACGUUGACCCGUAAUCCGGGUUGCGGACAGUGUCUGGUGGGUAGUUUGACUGGGGCGGUCUCCUCCUAAAGAGUAACGGAGGAGCACGAAGGUUGGCUAAUCCUGGUCGGACAUCAGGAGGUUAGUGCAAUGGCAUAAGCCAGCUUGACUGCGAGCGUGACGGCGCGAGCAGGUGCGAAAGCAGGUCAUAGUGAUCCGGUGGUUCUGAAUGGAAGGGCCAUCGCUCAACGGAUAAAAGGUACUCCGGGGAUAACAGGCUGAUACCGCCCAAGAGUUCAUAUCGACGGCGGUGUUUGGCACCUCGAUGUCGGCUCAUCACAUCCUGGGGCUGAAGUAGGUCCCAAGGGUAUGGCUGUUCGCCAUUUAAAGUGGUACGCGAGCUGGGUUUAGAACGUCGUGAGACAGUUCGGUCCCUAUCUGCCGUGGGCGCUGGAGAACUGAGGGGGGCUGCUCCUAGUACGAGAGGACCGGAGUGGACGCAUCACUGGUGUUCGGGUUGUCAUGCCAAUGGCACUGCCCGGUAGCUAAAUGCGGAAGAGAUAAGUGCUGAAAGCAUCUAAGCACGAAACUUGCCCCGAGAUGAGUUCUCCCUGACUCCUUGAGAGUCCUGAAGGAACGUUGAAGACGACGACGUUGAUAGGCCGGGUGUGUAAGCGCAGCGAUGCGUUGAGCUAACCGGUACUAAUGAACCGUGAGG